ACUUUAGCCAAAUUGACUAAAGUGCGCGAAAGGAAUAAUUGGACAAGUUUCAAUUAUUGUUCCAACAAUGUUGGAAGAGUUAAAAGUGAGUUUUAGAAGGGUUAGAAGGAUUUUAGUAUUGACCGGUGCGAAAUAGAAUCGAAAACGAUGCAAAUUUAAAGUCUGGGCAAAGUGUACCGGUACAACAUUGAUGUUGUACC
rnacentral:lncRNA from 1 species